UAAUGAACCUUGUCAAAACUGGUACGUACUAGGGAAAUCCAACUGGUUAAUUAAAACAAAGCAUUGUGAUGGUCCAUGUGGAUGCUAACAUAAUGUGAUUUAUGCUCAGUGCUCUGCAUGUCAAAGUGAAUAAAUUCAAUCAAGCGCGGGGGUAAACGAUGGGAGUAACUAUGACUCUCUUAAGGUAGUCAGAUUCCUCUGUGUCAUCUAAUUAGUGACGCGCAUGAAUGGAUUAACGAGAUUCCCAUUGUCCCAAGCUACUAUCUAGAGAAACCACAGCCAAGGGAACGGGCUUGGCAGAAUUAGAGGGGAAAGAAGACCAUGUUGAGCUUGACUCUAGUCCAACUUUGUGAAAUGACUUGAGAGGUACAGAAUAAGUGGAAGUUGUUUUCAGCGCAAGUGAAAUACCACUAAUUUUAACGUUAUUUUACUUAUUUUGGGGGGCAAAAAUGAGGCAUUGCACAUAUGUUAAAAUAUAAUGCACAUUUCCUCAAAGUGUUGUCAUUGAUGCCAAUGGUCGAAGGCUCAUUCUUCACACACUUGAUGGCAAUGAGUUUAGGAAACCAAAGAGGAUCAUUGCUUUUAAGGAUGAAGAAAGUUCCUACAAUCCCUAUGUUUUUAGCCAACAUCCCCCUAUAAGU
rnacentral:ncRNA from 1 species